rnacentral:lncRNA from 1 species
CUGCUCUGAUGGACUCAUCCCUCUGGAAGUGUAAGCCCGAUUGAGACAUACACCCCAAGAAGUUAUAAGUCCCCCGGGGAUCACAUGUCGGGGAAGGAGAGCCAGAAGCAUAGUCUCAGCAGAGGGAGUAACUUGCCUCCAUGGAAGAGCUUUACCGCUUGCCGGAGAGACUGGAGCUGAGACAAGGCGAUGGAUAGAACCAUGCAUUGACCAGACUGCUUAGCUGUGCAUACUUCUUGUCCUGUAUUUAAACUUAAACUUCAUGACAGGACCCCAAAAGUGGAGCGGGAAUGGAAUGGAGGACCAUUGGACCUCCUUGUUCCCUUACCAGUGUGCCCACAUUAAAUGGAUCUCCUUUU